rnacentral:rRNA from 1 species
UACAGAGGGUGCGGAGUCGUUGGAUUCGAAUCGUGGCGUAAAGCGCUUGUAGGCGGCUUGUUAAGUCGCGUGUGAAAUCCCUUGGCUCAACCAAGGAAGUGCGCGCGAAACUGGCGAGCUCGAGUGCCGGAGAGGGUCGGCGGAAUUCCCGGUGUAGAGGUGAAAUUCGUAGAUAUCGGGAGGAACACCAGUGGCGAAGGCGGCGACCUGGACGGACACUGACGCUGAGACGCGAAAGCGUGGGGAGCAAACAGG